rnacentral:rRNA from 1 species
AUACGGAGGGUGCAAGCGUUAAUCGGAAUUACUGGGCGUAAAGCGCGCGUAGGCGGUUUGGUAAGUCAGAUGUGAAAUCCCCGGGCUCAACCUGGGAACUGCAUUUGAUACUGCCGAACUAGAGUGUGGUAGAGGGUAGUGGAAUUCCAGGUGUAGCGGUGAAAUGCGUAGAUAUCUGGAGGAACAUCAGUGGCGAAGGCGGCUGCCUGGACCAACACUGACGCUGAGGUGCGAAAGCGUGGGGAGCAAACAGGAUUAGAAACCCCAGUAGUCC